UGAGAUCAGGGAGCACAGCAGUUUUCUCAGCAGACUCCUAACAGAUGAGGGUAAAGACUCAGAUAAUUCAAAGAUUCGUAGCACUGCAUUCAACUUCCCUUGACCGAGCUUGAACAAAGAAGAAAUUGUCUUCAAGCAGGAGCUUCCUAUCAAAAGAAGAUGUGAAUCCAGGGGCAGAGACUUGGGUCAACUGUGUUUGGAUAUAAUCCUGAAGAUGGACGUGCUGACCAUAUUCUGCCUUUGCAUGUACUGAAAAGUGCAGCUACCAGGUGAAUGGGGACUUGCUUGUCUUGUGCCUUGUGGACAGCUUGUUAAGACAGAAAGGUGUCCAAACCAAGUAAAAUCAGAACACCUUACAAGA
rnacentral:sRNA from 1 species